rnacentral:rRNA from 1 species
GAUGAACGCUGGCGGCGUGCCCAAUACAUGCAAGUCGAGCGAACAGACGAGAGUGCUUGCACUCUCUGACGUUAGCGGCGGACGGGUGAGUAACACGUGGGUAACCUACCUAUAAGACUGGGAUAACUUCGGGAAACCGGAGCUAAUACCGGAUAAUAUUUAGCUUCGCAUGAAGCAAUAGUGAAAGACGGUUCUGCUGUCACUUAUAGAUGGACCCGCGGUGUAUUAGCUAGUUGGUGAGGUAACGGCUCACCAAGGCAACGAUACAUAGCCGACCUGAGAGGGUGAUCGGCCACACUGGGACUGAGACACGGCCCAGACUCCUACGGGAGGCAGCAGUAGGGAAUCUUCCGCAAUGGACGAAAGUCUGACGGAGCAAUGCCGCGUGAGUGAAGAAGGUUUUCGGAUCGUAAAACUCUGUUGUAAGGGAAGAACAAGUACGUUAGUAACUGAACGUACCUUGACGGUACCUUACCAGAAAGCCACGGCUAACUACGUG